ACACUAUCAUUAACUGAAUCCAUAGGUUAAUGAGGCGAACCGGGGGAACUGAAACAUCUAAGUACCCCGAGGAAAAGAAAUCAACCGAGAUUCCCCCAGUAGCGGCGAGCGAACGGGGAGGAGCCCAGAGCCUGAAUCAGCAUGUGUGUUAGUGGAAGCGUCUGGAAAGGCGCGCGAUACAGGGUGACAGCCCCGUACACAAAAGCGCAUGUGCUGUGAGCUCGAUGAGUAGGGCGGGACACGUGGUAUCCUGUCUGAAUAUGGGGGGACCAUCCUCCAAGGCUAAAUACUCCUGACUGACCGAUAGUGAACCAGUACCGUGAGGGAAAGGCGAAAAGAACCCCGGCGAGGGGAGUGAAAAAGAACCUGAAACCGU
rnacentral:rRNA from 3 species